rnacentral:tRNA from 1 species
UCCCUGGUGGCUCAGCUGGCAAAGAAUCUGCCUGAAAUGUGGGAAGCCUAGGUUUGAUCCCUAGCUUGGGAA